rnacentral:rRNA from 1 species
AGCGAACGCUGGCGGCGUACUUAACACAUGCAAGUCGAACGAGGAUCAUCGGUGUAGCAAUACAUCGGCGGUCCUAGUGGCGUACGGGUGAGUAACACGUGGGCAACCUGCCCUCGAGCUCGGGAUAACCUUUCGAAAGGAAGGCUAAUACCGGAUACGUUCCUCGAGUCGCGAGACUUGGGGAGGAAAGGUGGCGCAAGCUACCGCUCUUGGAGGGGCUCGCGGCCUAUCAGCAGUUGGUGAGGUAACGGCUCACCAAGGCUAUGACGGGUAGCUGGUCUGAGAGGACGACCAGCCACACGGGAACUGAGACACGGUCCCGACUCCUACGGGAGGCAGCAGUGGGGAAUUUUCCGCAAUGGGCGCAAGCCUGACGGAGUGACGCCGCGUGGGGGACGAAGGCCU